UUAAUUAUAUAGAGGUACUUUUGGAGAGCCUAAACUGUUCCUGAUAUUUUUCAUGAGUCACCUUAUUUGAUUAUACCAAAAAGCCCUUACAAAAUGGGAACGAUCAUACUCAUUUUACAGAGCCAACCUCCUCCUCCGCCAACCUAACCUGUGCUGGGUCAUCCCAUCUCCUCUCUUCUCUCUGGGCCCUCGUUUGCCCGCAGAACUCCUUCAGUCUAAUGGCUUCAGAUACCAUCUGUAGUCGCUGAAGACUCCCUAACUGGCACUCUGAAGCAGUGGCAGUGCCUCAUUCAAUAUUCCUGUGGUAUGUCUGCUCCUGAGCAUUUGCUCUACCCUUCUUGGAUUUAACAUCCCUGCUUAAUCCUGUGUGACUUUCAUUGUCUUCUAGUGAACGAUAGCCCAUCCCACUGAUGUUGACUUUACAUGUGGGUAGCAUUGGCUAACUGCAUGUGUGUGGACACAAAGUAUAGCCCAUCCCAGAAGAAGCUUUGGGUCACUGUGUUUCUGCCACCACUCUGUUCUUCCCCUCUGCCUCAAGAAUAAUAUGUCCCACGUAGGGGCUGCUCCUUCAGCCUUCAGCCCAGGAUGAGAAGACAUGUGGAGCAGAGCCACGUACGCCCACUUGGACCACCUGCAGUCUCAUGUAACAGGCCAGAGAAGUCUGAACUGGGAAGACCGUCCUGUUUUAAGAGAGGACACUCAUCACAGGAAUCUUCACUUUAUCUUUGGAUACAUUUACUACCUGCGAUACCAGUGAGUUAAGCAACAUAUGACAAAUAAUCUAAGCUCUGUGGAGAGAGGCACAUGGAACUCCCAUACAAACCAUCAGGAAACUUCAGAGCCACAGAGAAAGUCUGAAAUUGUGGUAUCAGGUGGCCUGGAACCAACCCUGCAACAUCUCUGAGGGACGCUGAUUCUGAAUGCAUGUAGGGCAGGGUGAAAAAGAGGGAGCCCCUUACUCAUCCAGGAGAUGUGAAUCAACUGUCCAGCAUGCCUAAAACACUAGUUCCUGUCCUGGAACGUACUCAAUUUGCCUGGAAGAAUGGGUCUACAUUUCGGCGCAGUUUGGUUUGUUUACGCAAUGAUGUCAUCUGGGGAAGGAGCUCUUUUUCCUGAGACAAGGAAAGUUUGAGAAGCACAGCCGGAGGUGAGGGGAGCCUGGAACGUUCUCCAAGAGGGAGGUGACUUGGUUGUCAUGGAGAAGGACCACCUGGGGGUGAGGCUGCAGGUUGGCAGGAACAAGACAGGCACCUUCCAGGUGGGCCCACGGCUAGGUGGAUGAUGCGAGGUCUGUCUGAGAAGGGUAUGGUGCUGGCUGUCUACAAGAGCUUUCCCAGGGUCACCUGCCUCUCCCUCAGCUGCCUCCUGUGCUGACACACUCACCCCUGGACACUAGCAGUGGCCUCCCAACACUGGCCAGUAACUGAUUGCUGGUGGA